CCCCUACGGGGCGCAGCAGUGAGGAAUAUUGGUCAAUGGGCUUACGCCUGAACCAGCCAAGUCGCGUGGGGGGGGGGGGGGGUAUGGGUUGUAAACCUCUUUUGUCAGGGAGCAACGCCGGCUACGUGUAGCCGGACUGAGAGUACCUGAAGAAAAAGCAUCGGCUAACUCCGUGCCAGCAGCCGCGGUAAUACGGAGGAUGCGAGCGUUAUCCGGAUUUAUUGGGUUUAAAGGGUGCGUAGGCGGAAUGCCAAGUCAGCGGUAAAAUCGCGGGGCUCAACCUCGCUCCGCCGUUGAAACU
rnacentral:rRNA from 1 species